rnacentral:rRNA from 1 species
CCGGCGCACGGGUGAGUAACACGUAUGGAACCUGCCCUAUGCAGGGGGAUAAGCGGAAGAAAUUCCGUCUAAUACCGCAUAACACCAUUUGGAGACAUCUCCAGGUGGUCAAAGGAGGCGACUCCGGCAUAGGAUGGCCAUGCGUCGCAUUAGCUAAUCGGCGGGGUAACGGCCCACCAAGCCGACGAUGCGUAGGGGUUCUGAGAGGAAGGUCCCCCACAUUGGAACUGAGACACGGUCCAAACUCCUACGGAAGGCAGCAG